UUAGAGUUUGAUCCUGGCUCAGGACGAACGCUGGCGGCGCGCCUAACACAUGCAAGUCGAACGGAGCUGAGAGGAGCUUGCUUUUCUUAGCUUAGUGGCGAACGGGUGAGUAACGCGUGAGUAACCUGCCCUGGAGUGGGGGACAACAGUUGGAAACGACUGCUAAUACCGCAUAAGCCCACGGCCCGGCAUCGGGCUGAGGGAAAAGGAUUUAUUCGCUUCAGGAUGGACUCGCGUCCAAUUAGCUAGUUGGUGAGGUAACGGCCCACCAAGGCGACGAUUGGUAGCCGGACUGAGAGGUUGAACGGCCACAUUGGGACUGAGACACGGCCCAGACUCCUACGGGAGGCAGCAGUGGGGGAUAUUGCACAAUGGGGGAAACCCUGAUGCAGCGACGCCGCGUGGAGGAAGAAGGUUUUCGGAUUGUAAACUCCUGUCGUUAGGGACGAUAAUGACGGUACCUAACAAGAAAGCACCGGCUAACUACGUGCCAGCAGCCGCGGUAAAACGUAGGGUGCAAGCGUUGUCCGGAAUUACUGGGUGUAAAGGGAGCGCAGGCGGACCGGCAAGUUGGAAGUGAAAACUAUGGGCUCAACCCAUAAAUUGCUUUCAAAACUGCUGGCCUUGAGUAGUGCAGAGGUAGGUGGAAUUCCCGGUGUAGCGGUGGAAUGCGUAGAUAUCGGGAGGAACACCAGUGGCGAAGGCGACCUACUGGGCACCAACUGACGCUGAGGCUCGAAAGCAUGGGUAGCAAACAGGAUUAGAUACCCUGGUAGUCCAUGCCGUAAACGAUGAUUACUAGGUGUUGGAGGAUUGACCCCUUCAGUGCCGCAGUUAACACAAUAAGUAAUCCACCUGGGGAGUACGACCGCAAGGUUGAAACUCAAAGGAAUUGACGGGGGCCCGCACAAGCAGUGGAGUAUGUGGUUUAAUUCGAAGCAACGCGAAGAACCUUACCAGGUCUUGACAUCCGAUGCAUAGCGCAGAGAUGCGUGAAGUCCUUCGGGACAUCGAGACAGGUGGUGCAUGGUUGUCGUCAGCUCGUGUCGUGAGAUGUUGGGUUAAGUCCCGCAACGAGCGCAACCCUUAUUGCCAGUUACUACGAAAGAGGACUCUGGCGAGACUGCCGUUGACAAAACGGAGGAAGGUGGGGAUGACGUCAAAUCAUCAUGCCCCUUAUGACCUGGGCUACACACGUAAUACAAUGGCGGUCAACAAAGGGAUGCAAAGCCGCGAGGCAGAGCGAACCCCAAAAAGCCGUCCCAGUUCGGAUCGCAGGCUGCAACCCGCCUGCGUGAAGUCGGAAUCGCUAGUAAUCGUGGGUCAGCAUACCACGGUGAAUACGUUCCCGGGCCUUGCACACACCGCCCGUCA
rnacentral:rRNA from 1 species